GAAUAGUCAGUUUCUGCUUCAUAGAAGGCGCUUAGGCAAAUCCGGGCGCGGAAUUCAAGGGAGUGGGACGAGUGAACUUGUUCACGAAGCAAUCGGAAGUGGUUCCAAGAAAAGCCUCUAAGCCUCAGUCAUACGAGACCGUACCGCAAACCGACACAGGUGGGCGAGAUGAGUAUUCUAAGGCGCUUGAGAGAACUCGGGAGAAGGAACUCGGCAAAUUGGUACCGUAACUUCGGGAAAAGGUACGCCCCGGUAGCUUGAUUGGUUUACUCCAUGAGGGUGAAAGGGUUGCAAUAAACUGGUGGCUGCGACUGUUUAAUAAAAACGCAGCACUCUGCAAACACGAAAGUGGACGUAUAGGGUGUGACGCCUGCCCGGUGCUGGAAGAUUAAAUGAUGGGGUGCAAGCUCUUGAUUGAAGUCCCAGUAAACGGCGGCCGUAACUAUAACGGUCCUAAGGUAGCGAAAUUCCUUGUCGGGUAAGUUCCGACCUGCACGAAUGGCGUAACGAUGGCCACACUGUCUCCUCCCGAGACUCAGCGAAGUUGAAAUGUUUGUGAUGAUGCAAUCUACCCGCGGCUAGACGGAAAGACCCCAUGAACCUUUACUGUAGCUUUGCAUUGGACUUUGAACCAAUCUGUGUAGGAUAGGUGGGAGGCUUUGAAGCGGGGACGCUAGUUCUCGUGGAGCCAACCUUGAAAUACCACCCUGGUUUGUUUGAGGUUCUAACCUUGGUCCGUUAUCCGGAUCGGGGACAGUGCAUGGUAGGCAGUUUGACUGGGGCGGUCUCCUCCUAAAGUGUAACGGAGGAGUUCGAAGGUACGCUAGAUACGGUCGGACAUCGUGUUGAUAGUGCAAUGGCAUAAGCGUGCUUAACUGCGAGACUGACAAGUCGAGCAGGUACGAAAGUAGGACAUAGUGAUCCGGUGGUUCUGUAUGGAAGGGCCAUCGCUCAACGGAUAAAAGGUACUCUGGGGAUAACAGGCUGAUUCCUCCCAAGAGUUCAUAUCGACGGGGGAGUUUGGCACCUCGAUGUCGGCUCAUCACAUCCUGGGGCUGUAGCCGGUCCCAAGGGUAUGGCUGUUCGCCAUUUAAAGUGGUACGUGAGCUGGGUUUAAAACGUCGUGAGACAGUUUGGUCCCUAUCUGCCGUGGGCGUUGGAAAUUUGAAGGGGGCUGCUCCUAGUACGAGAGGACCGGAGUGGACGAACCUCUGGUGUACCGGUUGUCACGCCAGUGGCAUUGCCGGGUAGCUAAGUUCGGAAGAGAUAACCGCUGAAAGCAUCUAAGCGGGAAACUUGCCUUGAGAUGAGAUUUCCCAGAGCCUUGAGCUCUUUGAAGGGUCGUUCGAGACCAGGACGUUGAUAGGCUGGGUGUGGAAGUUAAAAAAAAAG
rnacentral:rRNA from 1 species